AGAUGAACGUCGAAAACAAAACAGGGCAACAAAUGACGUUUGGGACAGAUUGUUUUGUAAUCGAAGCACGUGAUUUGUAUUGUUGACCAAUCGGUGAUCGUCACUUCUGCUGUUUGUUUCUUUAUUAUAUUUGCCUUCUUCGUAACCCGACACGUUGGCCAAGGAAAGCGGGACCGACGAGCAUUCGAAUCAGGGGCAGCGAGGACGAGGUUGGCUGAGUGUUAGUAGAACCGUUUACGGACAGAUUGAGCUUAAGUUUAGACAUCGUUGGUCUUCCGAGUUCAAGUAUUAUUGAGGAUCGCUGCGAUACUUCGAAAACGCUGGCGGUAGCAAUGUUUAUAUCAACAGGAAUUAGUCUCAGAUGAUAUUACUUUUGCGUUUUCUUUUACUCAUUUUAACUCUUACUUCUAUUGUUUUGAACCUUUAUACAUGUUUACUAUAUCGCUGAUUUUGCAGUGUUUGUACCCCUUUUUUAAUAUUGUUUUUAUAUAUGUGUGCGAUAUUCAAUAUUGCGGAUUGUUACCUUAUUUUAUGUGCGAUCAUUCAAUAAUAGACUUUUAUCCCUGCUCAUUACCUAUAAAUCAGGUGUUUUGUUCACAUUUUCAUAGAGGCCUGCAACGUGAAAUGGAUGAUUUAUAAACGCCUCCACUCCAAAUCGAUUUUGUUGUACUAUUGGAGAACCCAGGAGAUUGAGAACGCAUGUUUAUCAGCAAGUACUUCACGUCUCAACGAAAACACGUUUCUUAGGGCAUGCAAAAACUGUUCCGAAGGGCAAUGGAUGGCACAUUGGAAACGACGGCGAAAAAUCGCCGAAAGAUCCGCUCUUAUUCUAAAUUCAAGAAUGGGGGUGCGACAAUCGUUAAUUUCGAAGGAAUGCGAAAUAGAGUGGCAUUUGUUCAAGGGCAUAAGAAUUUGCUUUUCAUUCAAUCAAGUCCUCGAACAAAAACUUAUUGAGUUGCGAACCAUAUGAGCAGCGUUUCCACCGUGGGUGUCUCUGAACAAAGAUACGUAAAAGUUUUAUCUGUAUCAAAUUCAAUUUUAAUUUUAGCUUUUGAGGUAGUAUAUUAUACAGACGACCACGAGAAUGCGA